rnacentral:rRNA from 1 species
GACAGAGGUGCCCAGCGUUGUUCGGAAUUACUGGGCGUAAAGGGCUCGUAGGCGGCCAACUAAGUCAGACGUGAAAUCCCUCGGCUUAACCGGGGAACUGCGUCUGAUACUGGAUGGCUUGAGAUUGGGAGAGGGAUGCGGAAUUCCAGGUGUAGCGGUGAAAUGCGUAGAUAUCUGGAGGAACACCGGUGGCGAAGGCGGCAUCCUGGACCAAUACUGACACUGAGGAGCGAAAGCCAGGGGAGCAAACGGG